rnacentral:rRNA from 1 species
CAACUGACGCUCAUGCACGAAGGCGUGGGGAUCAAACAGGAUUAGAUACCCUGGUAGUCCACGCAGUAAACGAUGAUUACUGGCUGUUUGCGAUACAAUGUAAGCGGCUGAGCGAAAGCGUUAAGUAAUCCACCUGGGGAGUACGUUCGCAAGAAUGAAACUCAAAGGAAUUGACGGGGGCCCGCACAAGCGGAGGAACAUGUGGUUUAAUUCGAUGAUACGCGAGGAACCUUACCCGGGCUUGAAAUGCAUCUGACGGGGCCGGAAACGGUCUUUCCCAGCGAUGGGCAGAUGUGUAGGUGCUGCAUGGUUGUCGUCAGCUCGUGCCGUGAGGUGUCGGCUUAAGUGCCAUAACGAGCGCAACCCUCAUCGUCAGUUACCAUCGGGUAAAGCCGGGGACUCUGACGAGACUGCCAUCGUAAGAUGCGAGGAAGGUGGGGAUGACGUCAAAUCAGCACGGCCCUUAUGUCCGGGGCGACGCACGUGUUACAAUGGGCGGUACAGCGGGGAGCUACCUGGCGACAGGGAGCCGAUCCCGAAAGCCGCUCACAGUUCGGAUCGGAGUCUGCAACUCGACUCCGUGAAGGCGGAUUCGCUAGUAAUCGCGCAUCAGCCACGGCGCGGUGAAUACGUUCCCGGGCCUUGUACACACCGCCCGUCAAGCCAUGGGAGUCGGGGGUACCUGAAGUUCGUAACCCUUCGGGGAGCGACCUAGGGUAAGACCGGUGACUGGGGCUAAGUCGU